rnacentral:rRNA from 1 species
UUAUUUGAAACCCUGGAAGSCACNGAAANGCCSUGGGGGAUUCAAAACAGGNAAUUAGAUAANCCCUUGGUADUUUCMACCUCCCUUAAAACCAAWUGNAACAACUUCGCCUKNUUGGCSGAUAACAACAGUUCCAGCSGGCCUAAAGCGAAAAAGGCGGUUAARGUUGUUUCCACCUUGGGGGAGUUACGGCUNCGUCAAGGAGNUNAAAACCUCCAAAGGAAUUUGACCGGGGGGGCCCNGCACCAAGCGGAGGGAGGCAUGGUGGUUUAAAUUUCGAUGAUAACGCGAAGGGAACCUUACCCCGGGGCGUUGAAAGUUAAGUGRGAUCAUUUAGAGAUAAAUGAGUUGAGCAAUCACCACGAAACUAGKUGCUGCAUGCCUGUCGUCAGCUCGUGGCCGUGAGGUGUUGGGGUUAAGUCCCGCAACGAGCGCAACCCCUAUGUUUAGUUGCCAGCACGUUAUGGUGGGGACUCUAAACAGACUGCCUGUGCAAACAGAGAGGAAGGAGGGGACGACGUCAAGUCAUCAUGGCCCUUACGUCCGGGGCUACACACGUGCUACAAUGGAUGGUACAGAGGGCAGCUACAUAGCAAUAUGAUGCGAAUCUCACRAAGCCAUUCACAGUUCGGAUUGGGGUCUGCAACUCGACCCCAUGAAGUUGGAUUCGCCUAGUAAUCGCGUAUCAGCAAUGACGCGGUGAAUACGUUCCCGGGCCUUGUACACACCGCCCGUCAAGCCAUGGAAGUUGGGGGUACCCUWAASUAUKAACCGGCARGGAGCKUCCUUAGGUAWACCUAAUGG